GACGAACGCUGGCGGCGUGCUUAACACAUGCAAGUCGAACGGAAAAGCCCUGCUUUUGUGGGGUGCUCGCGUCGCGAACGGGUGAGUAACAUGUGAGUCACCUGCCCAUGGCUUUGUGAUAACUUCAGAAAACUGGGGCUAAUACCGGCUAGGAGCUCCUGCUGCAUGGUGGGGGUCGGACCGUUUGGGCGGUUGGGGAUGGACUCUCGGUUUAUCAGCUUGUUGGUGGGAGAGUUGCUUACCAAGCCUUUGAUGGGUAGUCGGCCGGAGAGGGUGGCCGGCCACAAUGGGACUGAGAGACGGACCAGAGUCCUACGGGAGGCAGCAGUGGGGAAUAUUGCACAAUGGGCGGAAGCCUGAUGCAGCAACGCCGCGUGCGGGAUGACGGCCUUCGGGUGGUAAACCGCAGUCGCCUGUGACGAAGCGGGAGUGACGGUAAUGGGUAAAUAAGCACCGGCUAACUACGUG
rnacentral:rRNA from 1 species